UACGUAGGUGGCAAGCGUUAUCCGGAUUUACUGGGUGUAAAGGGCGUGUAGGCGGGGACGCAAGUCAGAUGUGAAAACCACGGGCUCAACCUGUGGCCUGCAUUUGAAACUGUGUUUCUUGAGUACUGGAGAGGCAGACGGAAUUCCUAGUGUAGCGGUGAAAUGCGUAGAUAUUAGGAGGAACACCAGUGGCGAAGGCGGCUUACUGGACGGCAACUGACGCUGAGGCUCGAAAGCGUGGGGAGCAAACAGG
rnacentral:rRNA from 1 species